CAGAAACACAGGUUGGAAGGGACCUCAGUGGGUCAUCUGGUCCAACCUCCCUGCUCUAGCAGGGGCAUCCUGGAGGACAUGGCACAGGACUGCAUCCAGACAGCUCUGGAAUAUCCAGCAAGGGAGACUCCUCUCACAGUGACCAGGACAGGCCGGGGUGCGGCUCCUCCAUCCCGAUGCCCUCAGACACACCAGGGCCAUGGAGCAGGAGCGGAGUAAAGGGGGAAUCCACUAGAACUGGUGACAUAAAGCAAAGCCAGGCAGUGAAUCCUGACCAGUUCAGCUGAUUACAAGGAUGUCACCAUUCUACAGAAACAAAGUUAUCAGCAAAAAAAAAAAAUCUGAAAAACUAUUAUCUGUCUAGCCUUUGAGAACUUCAUCUGAUAUUGAAA